rnacentral:rRNA from 1 species
CGAAUUAGUUUGAUCUAAGUAACUAGGCUUUCUAGAGCAAUGAUGUGCGUCGUAUAGUACAAUUACAAAAGUUAUUUAGGGGCGAUAGGCUAUUCAAAAACUAGGAUAUCUUGAUACCAGAGAAAAGUAUCUAGUACUUAAAACAAAUAUAAAGUGAUUAGGCUUUAUAUAUAUAUAUAAUAGCUAUUUUUUAAUAGAAAAGAUAUAACCAUCUUUUUCUACUUCCAAUUUAUUAUUUUAAUUUAAUUUAUGUAUACUAUAUAUGGUUAUGUGUAAAAUUUAAGUUAACAUUGAUAAUGUUUACAUAAGUACUCUUAUAAGACCUAAAUAACGAACUCGGCAAAUUUUUCUUCAACUGUUUAUCAAAAACAUAACUAUAUGAAUACUUAAUAUAUAGCUAUUUCUGCUCAAUGUAUUAUAUAAAUAGCCGCAGUACUUUGACUGUGCAAAGGUAGCAUAAUCAAUUGGCUUAUAAUUGAAGUCUAGAAUGAAAGAAUCUAUGGGGAAAUACUGUUUCAUUUUGGUAUUUGGAAAUUACUAAGUAGGUGAAAAAACCUAUAAAUAAAAAAUAGACGAGAAGACCCUUGAAAUUUUAAUUAAAAAUUAAUUAUACCUUUUUGUUGGGGCGACAAAGUAGCAAGAAAACCUACUUGAAAAAUAAGUAUUAAGUAUAAAGAUUAAAUAAAUUACUCUAGGGAUAACAGCAUAAUAUUUAAAAGUUUGUGACCUCGAUGUUGGACUAGGAAGAUAUAGUUUAGAAGACUAUUAUAAAGGCUCUGUU